UACGGAGGGUGCAAGCGUUAUCCGGAAUCACUGGGUUUAAAGGGUGCGUAGGCGGUCAUAUAAGUCAGUUGUGAAAUACCCCGGCUUAACCGGAGGAACUGCGAUUGAUACUGUUUGACUUGAAUCAGGUUGAGGUAGGCGGAAUGUGGCAUGUAGCGGUGAAAUGCUUAGAUAUGCCAUAGAACACCGAUUGCGAAGGCAGCUUGCUGGGCCUGUAUUGACGCUGAGGCACGAAAGCGUGGGGAGCAAACAGG
rnacentral:rRNA from 1 species